CCUACGGGAGGCUGCAGUGAGGAAUAUUGGUCAAUGGACGAGAGUCUGAACCAGCCAAGUAGCGUGCAGGAUGACUGCCCUAUGGGUUGUAAACUUCUUUUAUAAAGGAAUAACGCGCGUCACGUGUACCUUUUUGCAUGUACUUUAUGAAUAAGGACCGGCUAACUCCGUGCCAGCAGCCGCGGUAAUACGGAGGAUCCGAGCGUUAUCCGGCUUUAUUGGGUUUAAAGGGAGCGUAGUUGGGUGGUUAAGCCAGCUGUGAAAGGUUGGGGCUCAACCUUGAAAUUGCAAUUGAUACUGGCAGGCUUGAGUACAGGUGAGGCAGGCGGAAUUCGUGGUGUAGCGGUGAAAUGCUUAGAUAUGACGAAGAACCCCGAUUGCGAAGGCAGCUUACUACAGCGGAACUGACACUGAUGCUCGAAAGUGCGGGUAUCAAACAGGAUUAGAUACCCCGGUAGUC
rnacentral:rRNA from 1 species